AUGAAAAUGUGGCCAGUCAUAACUUCAGCCACUGAAUUAAGGGGUUUUCUGGGCUUAACAGGCUAUUACAGGAAGUUUCUUAAGAACUAUGGGGUGUUAGCCAAGCCCCUUACUCAGCUACUGCAGAAAGAUAAACAAUUUGUUUGGACUUCUAUGACUCAAGAGGCUUUUGAGACAUUAAAACAAGCCAUGUGCACUACACCAGUGUUAGCACUGCCUGACUUUUCUAAGCAAUUCACUAUUGAAACUGAUGCUUGCCAGUCUGGAGUGGGGGCAGUGCUUUCUCAAGGACACCCUAUUGCACUUUAUAGCAAAGCUUUGGGAGUCAUUAAUCAGAAGUUACCUAUAUAUGAAAAGGAGUUCUUGGCCAUCAUUGUGGCUAUUGACAAAUGGAGAUCCUAUUUACUGAGAGGUCCUUUUGUUAUUAAAACAGAUCACAGAAGUUUGUGUCAUUUGGCUGAUAAAUCCUUGGUGUCUGAACUUCAAAAGAAAGCAAUGACAAAGGAUUGGGCUUCAAUACCAAUUCCAGUACAACGAGGAAUGUAUGAGAAACUGAGUGCACAAUAA
rnacentral:rRNA from 1 species